rnacentral:lncRNA from 1 species
AUUUCAAAACUUGAAUUAACUGAAAUAAAAAUUACAUUCAAAUUCAUAAAAACUAUUAAAUACCAAAUAGCAUCAUAUACUAAAAAUUUCAAUCACUGGAAACUUCCAACAAAUAGCAUCAUCAAAAUACAUGGUGAAUCAAAUCCAUAAUAAUAUCUCAUAAAUCCUUUACAAUAUCUAAUCACCAACCCAUCCUAGAAAAACAGUUAAUCCAUAAAAAAAAAAAAAAAACAUUGAUGGUAAAUUCUCAAAAGCCACCAACAUCACCUGAAAAACAAAUUACAUUAAGAUGAGUACCAAAAAAAUGCAAAUUAACGUAUUGGCCACUUAUAGUUAAUCAAAUUCAUAAGGAGUCAUCACACACUUCAAUAAUCAAGAAUAAUGAAGAAUUUUACAUAUGUAACAAAAACCUAUAAUUACUAACAACAAUCAAUGUAUCAUUUUUGAACUCUUAAAUUCCUUGUCUAGAACCUUUUGACAGCCUUUUAACUGGAAUUUCUUGCCUUUCUACCUAUGUACCACAGAUAUGCUAAUUAGUUAGUAUAAAAAGAAAACAUGAUUUAAUAUGAGCAUAAUACCACAAUAUUACCUUGUACACUGGCCCAAAUCUACCUUCUCCCAGUUUAUUGUAACUUAAGAAGUUAUUUGUGGCGUUUGCUAUACUGGCAUAAACAAAUUCCCAGGCCAUAUCUUAUUUUGCUCCUUCAUUAUUAUAAUUUUUUAUAUGAUUCAUCUUUGUUAAUCCUAAAAUUGUAGGAGAAUUCCAUCAUGGAUAGUGAAUUUAUUUAGCUACUAAUUGGAAACAAUGAAUUUUAUUUGCAACUAAUCCAAAUGAAUGAUAUUAGCAAAACGCUUCGAAUAACGAGUUUAAAGUCUCCAGAGCUCACCAGAGCUAGUUGGGUGUGUAUUUUGAAGAUAUAAUAUCCACACAACCUCAACUUGUGUGGUAUGGUUACUUAUGAUCUUUUUCUAUCUUUAUUCCAUUAAUAUUAAUGCAAACUAUAUAUAUAUAUAUAUAUAUAAUCAUGCACAUUUGGAUUAAUAUUGUUUGUAACUGUAAGAACAACUAAUAAAAUUACAUAAUCAACCCAUAAAAAAAACCAACAGCAGUUAAAUUCAAUAAAAAAAAAACUAGCAGUUAAAAUAGCAACAAUGGUUAAAAAAAAACAACAUAAAUUAGAGAAAUGGAAAGUUUCUUCCAGGGCAGAAAUCAGAGAAAUCAACACAUUAGUGCCCAUCAUAGCAGAGGGCGUCCAAGACAAGUAUUUUCCAGUAAACUUAUCAUACUCAUCAAGCAACUAGUAAUUUCCACUUUAAAAAGUGAAGAAAUUAGAUAUCUAACUAAUCCAUAAAUUCAGGAUAUCAAAAAUCUUGACAAUUACAUAAAUUUUUUUCUACUACUUAUUUAGAUUCCAGUUCUUGUUCUGAGAUUACCAAAAGUAUUAACGCAGAUGAAACCAAGUUUCCAGUAUAGAGCCACUGUUUAGAACUUCACUUCUCAAUUAGUAAAGGCAACAGCCCAAUGCUAUGCUAGCCUUUCCGUCUGAGAAAGAGAUGAGGUUAUUCAGAUUUUGAAAUAAUGCUAGUGACAUGGGUAGUUUAAGCCAAAACAUAAUUUUAAAAUAAUCGAUAAUUAGUCCAGCAUGUUGUCCUUAAUCUCUUGAACAUGAUAUUCCUUCUCAUCUACUUUUUUCUUCCCAAUGAUAAAUGAACUUCAUCACAUGGCCAUGAUUAAUUCAAACAAACAAAAUUAAUUCAAAGAGAAGUGUAUUAACCGAAGAUAAAAUAAAUUAAUUCAAAGAAACAAAAUUAUCACAUGGCAAUAACUGAGAAUAAAAUGAAAACUAUUUGUGCGUACUUAUUUUUUGAAUGGGAACAGAGAUGAGACUUAGAAUCAAUUAAAUCCAACCCUAAGUUGAUUAAAAGAAUAAUUAAUUCAAGCAUAACCCUAAAAUUAUCUAAAUUAGAAUGAGAGAAGUAAGAAAAAUCAAAAUUAAAGAAAAAAACAUGUCGAUACAUAACUACUAAACUAAUAAGCCAAUACAAAACCCUAGAUCUAGCAAAUAAAUCAAAAUCAAUUGAAAGCUAAUGGUUCACCAAAAAAUAAACAACAUCAUAGAAUAGCAAUCAGAUCAAUCAAAAUAAACGGCGUAUAGAUCACAGAAAAAUCAAAUCAAAUCAAAUCAAAAGAAUAUAAUAUAAGAAAAAGAGGAAGUAAAGACCUAGCUGAACUUGUGCGUGUUGUUCAUCGGCAAGUAGUAGCAGCAGCAGGUCGAAGAGUAAGGAUGAAGACAUAUAAGAUUCAAGACGUUUGGAAACUAAGAAAAUAUUGAGAGAAAAUAAGAAGAUUCUGGAAAUUUGUUUUCUACUUCAUUCAUCAAAAAUUACAAAAGAAACUGUACACAACUAAUUUUGCUUAGCUAACUAAACAUGCUAAACAUGCUAAACAUGCUUAAUAGCUACUAUAACAAAACGAAAACUAAUAUUCACGUGUACAAGAAACUAUAUAACCACCAGGUGCCAGCUGGCAUGCCAAGUCAUCAACUUGUAACUGUGAAUUGCAACUGUUACAAUCCUAUGCUUUGCUGACCAUUUUGCUCAAAUGAGAUUCCUUAACAAAGACGAAGACGAAGAGUAGCAAUUUGUUGUCGGCAAAUAGCGCAGUAGAGGACCAAAUUUUUUGUCAGCAGCGUG